rfam:Homo sapiens chromosome 7, GRCh38 reference primary assembly.
AUCUUUUGUAGUUCCUAAGUGUGAUGAUUGGGUGUUCACAGGCAUGUGUGAGAUGGCCUCCCUCAAACCUUGUUAUGACAUUGGCAUACCCAAAAAAAA